rnacentral:rRNA from 1 species
UACGAAGGGUGCAAGCGUUGUUCGGAAUUAUUGGGCGUAAAGCGCGCGCAGGCGGAAGAGCAAGUCAGAUGUGAAAUCUCGGGGCUUAACCCCGAACGUGCGUCUGAAACUACUUUUCUAGAGUAAUGGAGAGGGAAGGGGAAUUUCACAUGUAGGGGUAAAAUCCGUAGAGAUGUGAAGGAACACCAGAGGCGAAGGCGCCUUCCUGGCCAUUUACUGACGCUGAGGCGCGAAAGCGUGGGGAUCAAACAGGAUUAGAUACCCUGGUAGUCCACGCCGUAAACGAUGAGAACUGGUUUUUGUGGGUAUUGACUCCCUCAGAAACGAAGCUAACGCGUUAAGUUCUCCGCCUGGGAAGUACGGUCGCAAGACUAAA